rnacentral:sRNA from 1 species
GCCAGGUACAGUGACUUGUGCCUGUAAUCCCAGCAGCUCAGGAGGCUGAGGCAGGAGAAUCACAAGUUCAAAAGCUCAGCCUUAGGAAUUUAGCAAAUCCCUAAGCAACUCAGCAAGACUCUGUCUCUA